UAUGGGACGAGAAGACCCUAUAGAGUUUGACAUUUGGCUUAUUUAUUUAUGUUGUUUGUUUUGUUUUUGGUAAGUGGGCUUUUUGUUUUGUUGGGGUGAUGAGAGGAAUAUAGUUUAACUCCUCUUGGUUUUAGGUUAUAUUGAUUUAUAGUUGUUUGAUCCAUUUAUUUUGAUUGCAAGACUAAAUUACCUUAGGGAUAACAGCGUUAUCUUCCUUGAGAGUUCUUAUCGGCAGGGGGGUUUGCGACCUCGAUGUUGGAUUAAGGUGAAUUUUUGGUGUAGGAGCUGAAAGUUUUAUUGGGUCUGUUCGACCUUUAAAAUCUUACAUGAUCUGAGUUCAAACCGGCGUGAGCCAGGUUGGUUUCUAUCUAUAAGUUGGUUUUAUACCUUAGUACGAGAGGACCAGGUAU
rnacentral:rRNA from 1 species